CAGCAGGGUUCCCGAGGAUGAAACAAUGGGCACUAGAUGCCUGCACCCAGCGGUUGCCAGGAGACCAGGAGCCCCUGUUUCGAUCUUCUACCACCUGGCUGCCGGCUGCCUGUGGGAGCCCCUGCCGCGGGAGUGUCAGCCAUCACUGCCUUGCCUGCUGCCACUGCCUGGAACCCUGAGCCUCCACCUGAUGCCACUGUUGACAUCAAAACCACCUGAGUGAGGACAACCCCCUGGCCACCACACAGAGGGCAGACCUGAGAGCCCCAACCCACGAAGCUCCUGCAAGCUGGCAGUUACCGACCUACGAGGACACACAGGGGAGCCCCGAGGAGCAGGAGGGCUGUUCCAGUCUCCCUACACUGCCCCUCCCCUGCCCACACACACACACAGGAAGAAGGCACAGCUCUGAGGCCCAGCUGAUUCCAUACCCAGCCUUGUAACCCAACCUGUGCCUUUGCUGGUGACCUAACAAGGACUCCAGUGUUUUCCUCAA